rnacentral:autocatalytically_spliced_intron from 1 species
GUAUCGUGGUAAUUUUAUUAUCCUACAAACGAAUUGAAUUGCUUGAAACCCCUAAAGCCGAUAAAACGACAACAUAAAGAUGAAAAAAACUUCAAUGUGAACGUGGCGAAAGCAAAAAAAAUUUAUCGGAUGGUCUAAGGUUAAAACCUAAAGACUAGAAUCAAUGGGCAACCAGCAGCCAAGCUCUUAAUAGGAGAAGGUUCAACGACUAUUCCUCUUGAAGGAAGUACAUGUAAGCACAUGGAAGCGGUUCGGUCUAAGCCUUAAACAAUGAAGGUAAGAAUAAGAUAUAAGUCUGUACUUGUAUGAAAGUACAAG